rnacentral:rRNA from 1 species
AGAGUUUGAUCCUGGCUCAGGACGAACGCUGGCGGCGUGCUUAACACAUGCAAGUCUACGAGAAAGAGGUAGCAAUAUCUCAAGUAAAGUGGCGCAAGGGUGAGUAAUAUGUAAGUAAUCUACCUAUGGGUUCGGAAUAACGUCGAGAAAUCGGCGCUAAUACCGAAUAAUGCAGCGGCAUCGCAUGAUGAUGUUGUUAAAGUUGUCCCGACUUGUCGGGAUGACUCCUAUAGAUGAGCUUGCAUCUGAUUAGCUAGUUGGUAGGGUAAUUGCCUACCAAGGCUACGAUCAGUAGCUGGUCUGAGAGGAUGAUCAGCCACACUGGAACUGAGACACGGUCCAGACUCCUACGGGAGGCAGCAGUGAGGAAUAUUGGGCAAUGGACGGAAGUCUGACCCAGCAACGCCGCGUGGAGGAUGAAUGCCGUAAGGUUGUAAACUCCUUUUGAAGGGGACG